rnacentral:rRNA from 1 species
UACGGGGGGAGCAAGCGUUGUUCGGAUUUACUGGGCGUAAAGGGCGCGUAGGCGGCGUGACUAGUCACUUGUGAAAUCUCCGGGCUUAACUCGGAACGGUCAAGUGAUACUGUCGUGCUAGAGUACAGAAGGGGCAACUGGAAUUCUCGGUGUAGCGGUGAAAUGCGUAGAUAUCAGGAAGAACACCCGUGGCGAAAGCGGCUCUCUAGGACGGUACUGACGCUGAGACGCGAAAGCGUGGGGAGCGAACAGG